rnacentral:rRNA from 1 species
AGAGUUUGAUCCUGGCUCAGGAUGAACGCUGGCGGCGUGCCUAACACAUGCAAGUCGAGCGAUUUACUUCGGUAAAGAGCGGCGGACGGGUGAGUAACGCGUGGGUAACCUGCCCUGUACACACGGAUAACAUACCGAAAGGUAUGCUAAUACGAGAUAACAUGCUUUUAUCGCAUGGUAAAAAUAUCAAAGCUUUUGCGGUACAGGAUGGACCCGCGUCUGAUUAGCUAGUUGGUAAGGUAACGGCUUACCAAGGCGACGAUCAGUAGCCGACCUGAGAGGGUGAUCGGCCACAUUGGAACUGAGACACGGUCCAAACUCCUACGGGAGGCAGCAGUGGGGAAUAUUGCACAAUGGGCGAAAGCCUGAUGCAGCAACGCCGCGUGAGCGAUGAAGGCCUUCGGGUCGUAAAGCUCUGUCCUCAAGGAAGAUAAUGACGGUACUUGAGGAGGAAGCCCCGGCUAACUACGUGCCAGCAGCCGCGGUAAUACGUAGGGGGCUAGCGUUAUCCGGAAUUACUGGGCGUAAAGGGUGCGUAGGCGGUCUUUCAAGUCAGGAGUGAAAGGCUACGGCUCAACCGUAGUAAGCUCUUGAAACUGUAAGACUUGAGUGCAGGAGAGGAGAGUAGAAUUCCUAGUGUAGCGGUGAAAUGCGUAGAUGUUAGGAGGAAUACCAGUUGCGAAGGCGGCUCUCUGGACUGUAACUGACGCUGAGGCACGAAAGCGUGGGGAGCAAACAGGAUUAGAUACCCUGGUAGUCCACGCCGUAAACGAUGAGUACUAGCUGUCGGAGGUUACCCCCUUCGGUGGCGCAGCUAACGCAUUAAGUACUCCG